GGAAGUAUCAUUAAUCCCAUUGACAGGUGGAGGAACCCGAGGCACCGGGAGGUGAAGUUCCUUGUUCAAAGUCACUCAGUUGCAGAACCAGGAUUUGAACCCCGGUCUGUGUGACCCUGGAGCCUGUGCCCCACCCCCCGGGGUUUCCAGAAGCGAAGAAGGCUGCUGAGACUUGGGGAAGUGGCUGCGACCAGGCAUGCAGGGGGAUCCGGUAUGCUGAGAGCAUCUUCCGCCACGCUGGGCUGUCUGCCUGUGCUCUUCUCCUGCCGUAGCUGCCUUUCCAAGAGUCUCCCAUGCAGGAUGCAGGAUGCAGGGAUCCAGACAUGGCAGACUGGCAUGGAGGACCUGCAGGUGGGGCUCUGAGAGCCUUCAGAUUGCCUGGCAUGGGUAAAAUCCUUCCAGCAGGAGAGGCUGGCUCCUGGGGAGGUGGCCUCGCUGUGCCGGGGCUGCUCCUGCAGAACAAAAAGAGAGGGAGACUUAAUUCUAGGUUGGAUGUUGAGAAAAUGAUGAAAAUAAAACCAAGCCCAUGUCUUCUGCACCUAAAUUAUAUGCCUUUAGAACAAACCCGCUUUAUAAGUUAAUUUGAACUUGUAGAACAUUAAGAUGCAUAUUUUUGUAACUUGUUUGGAAUGUCAUGAUAGGUUCUACUGUUUUCUUGCUUGGGCAUA